GAUUGAACGCUAGCGGCAUGCUUAACACAUGCAAGUCGAACGGCAGCGCGGGGAGCUUGCUCCCUGGCGGCGAGUGGCGGACGGGUGAGUAAUGCGUAGGAAUCUACCUUGUAGUGGGGGAUAACCUUGGGAAACUAAGGCUAAUACCGCAUACGCCCUACGGGGGAAAGCAGGGGAUCUUCGGACCUUGCGCUAAAAGAUGAGCCCGCGUCGGAUUAGCUUGUUGGUGGGGUAAUGGCCUACCAAGGCGACGAUCCGUAGCUGGUCUGAGAGGACGAUCAGCCACACUGGGACUGAGACACGGCCCAGACUCCUACGGGAGGCAGCAGUGGGGAAUAUUGGACAAUGGGGGAAACCCUGAUCCAGCAAUGCCGCGUGUGUGAAGAAGGCCUUCGGGUUGUAAAGCACUUUCGGUGGGAAAGAAAUUCUCAAGGGUAAUAUCCUUGGGCGUUGACGUUACCCACAGAAGAAGCACUGGCUAACUCUGUGCCAGCAGCCGCGGUAAUACAGAGAGUGCAAGCGUUAAUCGGAAUCACUGGGCGUAAAGCGCGCGUAGGUGGAUAUUUAAGUCGGAUGUGAAAGCCCUGGGCUUAACCUAGGAGUUGCACCCGAUACUGGGUAUCUUGAGUAUGGUAGAGGGAAGUGGAAUUUCCGGUGUAGCGGUGAAAUGCGUAGAUAUCGGAAAGAACACCAGUGGCGAAGGCGACUUCCUGGACCAAUACUGACACUGAGGCGCGAAAGCGUGGGGAGCAAACAGGAUUAGAGACCCUGGUAGUCCACGCCGUCAACGAUGAGAACUAGCUGUUGGGAAGUUCACUUCUUAGUAGCGAAGUUAACGCGUUAAGUUCUCCGCCUGGGGAGUACGGCCGCAAGGUUAAAACUCAAAGAAAUUGACGGGGGCCCGCACAAGCGGUGGAGCAUGUGGUUUAAUUCGAUGCCAACAGCCAUGCAGCACCUACCCUUGACAUCCUCGGAACUUGUCAGAGAUGACUUGGUGCCUUCGGGAACCGAGUGACAGGUGCUGCAUGGCUGUCGUCAGCUCGUGUCGUGAGAUGUUGGGUUAAGUCCCGUAACGAGCGCAACCCUCGUCCUUAGUUGCCAGCGAGUCAUGUCGGGAACUCUAAGGAGACUGCCGGCGAUAAACCGGAGGAAGGUGGGGAUGAUGUCAAGUCAUCAUGGCCCUUACGGGUAGGGCUACACACGUGCUACAAUGGGCAGUACAAAGGGUUGCUAAGCUGCGAGGUGGAGCUAAUCCCAGAAAACUGCUCGUAGUCCGGAUUGGAGUCUGCAACUCGACUCCAUGAAGUUGGAAUCGCUAGUAAUCGCGGAUCAGCAUGUCGCGGUGAAUACGUUCUCGGGCCUCAAACACACCGCCCGUCUGACCAUGGGAGUGAAUUGUACCAGAAGCGGGUAGGCUAACCUUCGGGGGGCCGCUCACCACGGUAUGAGCCAUGACUGGGGUGAA
rnacentral:rRNA from 1 species